AGCUGGCUGUGCAGAGGUACCUGAGAAUACUGUUUUUGCCAAGGUGAGAAAUCUAUGGAGAAUCCAUAAAACUCCUCAAUGAUGCUGGAAAGAAUAUGGCCUUUUGGCACCCCUGUCUGUUAGGGUGUGCCAUGGAGAAAAGUAAUCAGUGCAUACAGAGGGGGAAGGAAAUGCAUGAUCAUCAGAACCAUUCAUACCAUGCCAACAUCUGAAAGGGCCAUGAGAAACUGUAGUUUAUCUAAGGCUAUCUAGCAAAUUCAUGGCUGAACUGAAAUCUGAACCAGGAUCUUCUGAUCUAUAUACUGCCAACUGUGAAGAAGCAA